ACGUAGGUGGCAAGCGUUGUCCGGAUUUAUUGGGCGUAAAGCGCGCGCAGGCGGUCUUUUAAGUCUGAUGUGAAAUCUCGGGGCUCAACCCCGAGCGGUCAUUGGAAACUGGGAGACUUGAGUGCAGAAGAGAAGAGCGGAAUUCCACGUGUAGCGGUGAAAUGCGUAGAGAUGUGGAGGAACACCAGUGGCGAAGGCGGCUCUUUGGUCUGUAACUGACGCUGAGGCGCGAAAGCGUGGGGAGCGAACAGGA
rnacentral:rRNA from 1 species